AUGCCUCGCAAUUUAUUUAAUCGCAUAGCUGAGGCAGUACUUGAGCAUGAUAGUUAUUUUAAGCAAAAAGGAAAUUCUGCUGGAGCUCUUGGAUUGCAUCCUCUGCAAAAGAUGACAACUGCAAUGCGACUGCUAACGUCAGGAUAUGCCGCUGAUGCCGUGGAUGAGUAUUGUCGGUCUGGAGAAUCUACUAAUCUAGCAUCUUGCAAAAAGUUUGUGAUAGCUAUUUAUGAAGUCUUUGGUUACCAGUAUCUGGGAUCUCCAAAUGAAGAAGAUAAUGCUAGAUUACUUGACAUAGGGGAUCAAAGAGGUUUUCCUGGUAUGUUAGGGUGUAGAUUGCAUGCAUUGGACUUGGGAAAAUUGCCCUAA
rnacentral:rRNA from 1 species